rnacentral:rRNA from 1 species
AACGAACGCUGGCGGCAUGCCUAACACAUGCAAGUCGAACGAAACCUUCGGGGCUAGUGGCGCACGGGUGAGUAACGCGUGGGAACCUGCCCUUAGGUUCGGAAUAACUCCCCGAAAGGUGUGCUAAUACCGGAUAAGGUCUUCGGACCAAAGAUUUAUCGCCUUUGGAUGGGCCCGCGUUGGAUUAGCUAGUUGGUAGGGUAAAGGCCUACCAAGGCGACGAUCCAUAGCUGGUCUGAGAGGAUGAUCAGCCACACUGGGACUGAGACACGGCCCAGACUCCUACGGGAGGCAGCAGUGGGGAAUAUUGGACAAUGGGCGAAAGCCUGAUGCAGCAAUGCCGCGUGAGUGAUGAAGGUCUUAGGGUUGUAAAGCUCUUUUACCCGGGAUGAUAAUGACAGUACCGGGAGAAUAAGCCCCGGCUAACUCCGUG